CAAUAGCGUAUAUUAAAGUUGUUGCAGUUAAAAAGCUCGUAGUUGAAUUUCUGAGGGGCACAGUGGGACCGCUUGAUUGCGCGUCCUUGCUGAUUCUCUCAUCUUUGUACGGACGGCGUCGGCCUUCAUUGGUUCGGCGUUUCGACGUGCAUCUUUUACUGUGAAAAAAUUAGAGUGUUUAAAGCAGGCAUCCGCUUGAAUACAUUAGCAUGGAAUAAUAAGAUAGGACUUUGGUCUAUUUUGUUGGUUGCGGCCCAAGGUAAUGAUUAAUACGGAUGGUUGGGGGUAUUUAUAUUGAGGUGGAAGAGGUGAAAUUCUUGGAUUUCCUCAAGAUAAACUACUGCGAAAGCAUUUACCAAGGACACGCCGUUUA
rnacentral:rRNA from 1 species